UGCAAGAUCUUGCAACAAAAAUAAACUAUCAAAGGAAAUUCAAGUUUAACAUUAACCGAUCCACAGUCCUAGAUGGAGCCAUCAGAGGUUUUAAACGAGGGACCUAUGAUCCAUGUCACAGUAUUUCUGUCAGGUUUUCUGAUGAUAUGGGAGUACCUGAAGAGGCUGUGGACUUAGGUGGACCAAGAAGAGCAUUUCUAAGACUGUUAAUGGAAGCUUUGCCCAUAUCUCCAAUGUUUGAGGGAGAAGGUGGCAAAAUGAACUUAGCCUUUGACAGUACUGAUUUCGGGAUGGACUGAGGACACUUGGUGUGCUGGACAAAAUGCAAGCUCACCCGGAGAGUUUUCGACCCCUUCUAUGCUGGUCUCCUACAACCCUCACAGCUGACCUGGUUGACAGCCUCUUCACCAUCUGCCUAUCUCCAGUUGGCAGCAACAGAAGGCGUGCUGAAGAAGUUGUUGUUCCUUUCUGGAGAGACUAUCUAACAGAUGCAGAAGAUCAAGAGGGAACGCACAAGCUGGGGACAAUUUUCGCCUUUGCCACUGGAGCCAAUACUGUUCCACCAAUUGGCUUCUCUCCACAACCUUCAGUUGAAUUUCUUCACCAAGAGCAUGACACAGGAACCAUCUCCAAACUGCCCCUUGUAAAUACCUGCAUCAAUUGUUUGAAGUUACCACUGCACACCUCUUACAGAGACUUUCAGGAAAACAUGGACUUUGCAUUGGGCAAUACCCAUGGUUUUGGCAUAGCUUAAUUCAUGGGCAAGCCUUCUUCUCAGUAUUCUGUCAAGGUCAAGUUCACACUCAGAUAAUUCCAAAACAGUUCCUGACAAAUGUUUUUGGUGUGGAUAUCAUUCCACAUUGUUUUGUUUGAAAAAUACAUAUUGUUGCAUCUUUGUUAAAACAAUAAGGUGCUAACAUUUUCUUUAGUACAUUUCAGAUUUUCAGAAAGUUCAGUGAAGGCAAAAGCUGACUUCUAAUGAGAAACUUAUCAUGAUGUAA